AAAAUGUCCGUCUUAUUAGAAUUAAUGAAGUCAUGCCACUCACAUCCGUCCACGUUACUCCACUUUGGCCACCACCAUUGUGGUCCAUGCUGACAUCAUUUCUCUCGUAGAUUACUGCAGUGGCCUUCUCACUGGUCUCUCACAUCCUCUUUACCCCAUCCAAAGUAUUCUUCACAUUAAAUCACUGUAAUUCAUUAAUUCACAGUAUUAAUUCACAGUAAUCUUUUGGAAACUCAAAUAAGACAACUAAAAUCUGAAUACCCUACACAUAUAAAUAAAUCCUAACUUAAAAAUUUCCCCUGGUUCCCCAUUGCUCCAAAGACUUAACUAGUUGAUUUGGCCCAGAGAACUCUGCUUAAUCUGUGCCUCCCACGCUUUUCCCUCUUCUUGUUGCAUCACAUUCCUCCCUCCUCACUCUCUCUGCUCUCAUCACCCAGAUUCCUCUGCCUGGAACACUUCUCCCUCCCUGCUUUGCCAAGUUGUCUCCUACUCACCUUUUACCUCUUAAGCCUUAUCAGCUCCUGAGGGAUGGGUGAGGAAGACCCUCUUCUCCUUGGUUAGGCCAAAUCCCCAUGUUUUAAACUCCCUUGGCACCGACAACCAGCUCAUGAACCCUUCAUAGAAUGUAACAUGGGACAUUUACACAAUCUUGUAUGAUUAAUUUCCAUCUGAUCUCCCCUCUAGACUGUAAGAUCCAUGAAGGCAGAGACUCUACCUUUUUGUUUACCACUGUAUUCCAGAGCCUGGCAUAGUGUCUGGCACAUGUUAGGUACUAAAUAAAUUCAUUCUGAAGGAAGAAUGCAUGAGUGGUAAAUUGAUACUUCUAAAAUAAUAAACAGGAGGCCUAGCAUUUUAAAUGAGUGAUAAUAAUGGGUAGCACAUAUUAAACUUCUAGUGUUAGGUAAACACUAUUCAAAACUCUUUACUCAGUCAUUCCAGUUCCGAGGACCAACCCUAUCAGUACACGUCAGUAUCUGCACAUAAUAGAUGAGAUCUGAGACUCAGGCUACUUGUGCAAGGCCAGGCAGCCAGUGUAAGAAGCCUGAGGUGAGAUGUCUGGCCAUGUUGCUGGUGCCGUCGCCCUCAAGAAGCCAAACAGGCUCUCAGAGUUUCUCAGGCCCUGCCCUCGGACGUGGCCCCACCCCAGAGCAUGCUGGGCAGGACCUCCCCAUAGAUCCCUCCCAUUGCCAAUGUAUUCCUCCAGAGGAUUCUGAGCUCUGCUUGGUGUUUCCAGCUGUGAUGAGGUAAAUGUAGUCUUGGUCCUCUGGAAAAGUAGAUAAUUAAGGCAGAUAGUCCACACAUGUGAAAGUGUUGUGACUUGGAAAGG
rnacentral:lncRNA from 1 species